GAAAGUUCACAUAUUCGGAGUGCCAAGUUUGGAAUUAUGAAGUUUUGGAUCUAAGAGUUAAAUGCUUGAAUAUGCGUGUAGUAAGUUUCUGAUUUGUAGUGCGAAGUUUUUGAUCUAGGAGUACAAUGUUUCAAAAUUGCUAGUUAAAAGUUGUUGAAUAUGUGAUUACAAAAUUUUGCAUUCUACCUACAAAUUCUUUAGAUUUAUACUUCUAAGUUUGAGAACACUAUGUUAAAACUGGGAUGUGCA
rnacentral:lncRNA from 1 species